GACGAAGGUGGCAAGCGUUGUUCGGUAUUACUGGGCUUAAAGCGUGUGUAGGCGGAAAUGUAAGCGUUGCGUGAAAUCCCCCGGCUUAACCGGGGAACUGCGCAACGAACUGCGUUUCUUGAGGCAAGUAGGGGUACAUGGAACUCUUGGUGGAGCGGUGGAAUGCGUAGAUAUCAAGAGGAACGCCAGUGGAGAAAUCGGUGUACUGGGCUUGUACUGACGCUGAGACACGAAAGCGUGGGGAGCGAACGGG
rnacentral:rRNA from 1 species